GGCAUCUCUCUCAAAUUCGCCGGAAUAUACUCCACCAGCGGAAGAAGAUUUUAGUACUUGCAAAUACUGUUACCAUGGGUGAAGAAGUGAGCCUGACCGACUAUGAAUCAAGCGGUGGUAACGAUGACAGACUUCUCUGGGAAAUUGGACUUCCCGAUGUCGAUGAUCUCACACCGUUGAAUAUGCAGUUGAUUCCGUCGGAACUUGCUGCUGCGUUCAGAAUUUCGCCGGAAUUGUCAAAGACGAUGACCGAUGUAAAUCGUGCUUCGCAGAAUACGUUUUCUUCUCUCCAGAGAUGGCACUCACAGGAUAUGGCUUCGAUGAAUAACUCUAAUUUCAAGACGUUUAGCUAUGAGAGGAGUAGAGAAGAGACUGUUACUGAAAGAGAUGAAACGGAUCUGAUAAGAGAGGGAUCCGACUCGAGGAAGCUCCGGCGGGUUGAAUCCGGAGGCACUGAGGAGGCUGAUUCAUCUCUGUGUAACGAGAAUUUUGCGGAUGAUUCGUCUGCUAAGACUCUGAAACGGCCCAGACUUGUUUGGACGCCGCAGUUACACAAGCGCUUUAUUGAAGUAGUGGCGCACUUAGGUAUCAAAGGGGCUGUGCCGAAAACAAUUAUGCAGCUUAUGAAUGUGGAAGGAUUGACGAGAGAGAACGUAGCAAGUCAUUUACAGAAAUACAGAUUGUAUACGAAGAGAAUGCAGCCGAACGAGGGUCCUUCUUCGUCUGAUCAUUUGUUGACUUCCACACCGGCUACAGAGAUUAUGCGUGAGUCCAGUGAGAGUGGUCACCUCCGCAAUACUAAUGGCCACAUGGCAAUGCCAACUCUGAUGCCGUACCAACAACAAAUGGUGGCGAUGCCAAUGAUGGGGAUGCCAAAUGGAGGACAUGUAGGCAUGCCUGUUGGUUACGGGGGUGGACCGCCACUUGGGUUUCAUCAUCACUAUAAUGUGGUGCAACAGCGGGAUUGGUCUGGAAAUAAUUUUGGUUACUAUCAUCCUGUUGCUUCUAAUGAUAAGUAGCUCCACAAGCUGGGACCUGGAUGAUGUCAUUUGAUCGUGGAGGAAUCAUGGCAGGUUCAUGAGGUGUUGUUCUCUGGUAAAAUGUGGGACAAAUAUGAGUUAGACAGCAGAUAGGCAGUUGGUCCGAUCUAUCCUUGCAUUGUCUUUUUUCCUGAAACAUGUCUCGUCCAGCAGCAACAAAUCGUUUGCACUACAAACACCAACCAGUCCUUUGUAUGAUAAAUGGUGUAUCGUUUUUCUAGUAAUGGGUGUGUUGAACCUUUUUUUUUAUCGCAAUGAUCUAGAGAGUAAUAUAAAACGUUGUCAGCAGCCCCAACAUAUUGGGUAUUUGAAUCUUCGUCCUUCUCCCAACUCCCAUGGGCCUAUAUUCUUCUUGUAUAAGAAAUUAAUUAUUUGCUCCAUAUUUUAUCUCUUUAGUUUUGUGCUUGCUUUCAAAUUCUGUACUAGAUGGAAGAACCUGCCUG
rnacentral:misc_RNA from 1 species